CCUACGGGAGUCUGCAGUGGGGAAUAUUGCACAAUGGGCGAAACCCUGACGCAGCGACGCCGCGUGAGGGAUGAAGUUUCUCGGAUCGUAAACCUCUGUCAGCAGGGACGAACGGUCACUGUGCUACUUAGGAGUGCACUGCUGGUACCUGCACAGCAACCACCGUCUAACUCCGUGCAAGCAGCCGCGGCUAUUCGGAGGGUGCGAGCGUUAAUCGGAAUUACUUGGGGUAAAGCGCUCGUAGGCGGGAUGUCAAGUCAAGGGUGAAAUUCCCGCGCUGAACGUUGGAACUGCCUGUGAAACUGGGCAACUGGAGUGUAUGAGAGGUAAGUGGAAGUCCUGGUGUAGGGGUGAAAUGCGUAGAUAUCUGGAGGAACAUCAGUGGCGAAGGCGGCUAGCUGGACCUUAACUGACGCUGAGGCGCGAAAGCGUGGGGAGCAAACAGGAUUAGAUACCCGGGUAGUC
rnacentral:rRNA from 1 species